GUCGUAACAAGGUUUCCGUAGGUGAACCUGCGGAAGGAUCAUUAAUGAAUUUUGAAGGGGUUGUAGCUGGCUCGCAAGGGCAUGUGCACACCCCGUUCAAUCCAUCUCACCCCUGUGCACCACAAUGUAGGGAUGGCGGACCGUGAGGUCUUCCGUCUCUAUGUCAUUUACAAACUCGAUAGUAUCAGAAUGUAAACGCGUGUAACGCAUCUUAUACAACUUUCAGCAACGGAUCUCUUGGCUCUCGCAUCGAUGAAGAACGCAGCGAAAUGCGAUAAGUAAUGUGAAUUGCAGAAUUCAGUGAAUCAUCGAAUCUUUGAACGCACCUUGCGCCCCUCGGUAUUCCGAGGAGCAUGCCUGUUUGAGUGUCAUGGAAUCAUCAACCUCAACACCUUGUUGUGUUGAAGGCUUGGACUUGGAGGCUUAUGUCGGCGUCAGUCGGCUCCUCUGGAAUGCAUUAGCUGGACUUUUGAGUCUGGUUGCACGGUGUGAUAAUUAUCUGCAUCGUCGGCCUCUCUAAUUGGGACCAGCUUCCAACCGUCACCUUCACGGAGACAACUUACUUGACCUCUGACCUCAAAUCAGGUAGGACUA
rnacentral:rRNA from 1 species